CCCGAGGCUUGGGCCUGUUAAAGCCUCCCCAGCUGGCUUGUGCUGCUUGGUCCAGUGGCCUCUUCCGAAUCCAGCCGAAGAAUCUGCAGCUGCCUGGGCCUUACAAGCCUCCUCACAGGAGCCCAAGCAGGGAACUGGCCAGCACAGACCUACUGGAGAGCAGCUCAGGUCCCCCAGCCUCCAGCAGCCCUCCUUUUCAGUGACCUCAGCUAGCUGCAGAUUCCCUUCCAUCACCCAGUCCCAGAGGUCUCCAUCACACACACACACACACACACACACACACACACACACACACACACACACACACACAAGCGUAGAUCUGUGAUCAAUGUUCCAUGUGUAGGACAUUGAAGGGGCCUGAACUCAGCUCCCAGGAAGCAAAUAGAUCGGAGGCACCAGCCAG
rnacentral:lncRNA from 1 species